AAAAAGACAAACCCUGGUUUCCGUGUCCAACGUUUGACCGUCCGUCUUAUUUGAAAAAAUUAUGAAAAAAAAUAAAAAGACAAGUCACGCAUAAAAUAUUAAUCAUGUUUUAUCAUCUAACAACAAUGAAAAUACGAAUUAUAAAAAAAUUUCAUAUAAGACGGACAGUCAAAGUUGGACACGGAAACCCAGGGUUUGUUUUUUU
rnacentral:pre_miRNA from 1 species